rnacentral:sRNA from 1 species
UUACAUCUAGAUCCAUACCCCUAAACUCCCUAGAUGUUUUGGAUAGCUUUAUUUGCUAUCCAAUUUUU